AGUCGCUCUCUACAAAAUGAUUCACUUCACUUCAUAUCCCCAUUAACCUAAUUUCCCUCAUCACCAUUACCAACGAAUUCACAAACCGAUUAGCUUGAUACUCAUUAAAUCAUUCAGAAAUCAAGAAGUUAAAAUAAAAUUCUCGGCUUUCUCCUUUCGCCCGGAAGCGUCAGAUUGAAUACUAUUCGAAUACUUUCUAACCCCGUCCACCUCUUAAUUAUUCAUCAUCCCCACAAUACGAAGCCAAUCGAACCAUCGCUCGGGCUUGAAAUCUGACAAAAUAAACCACGGUUGAUCGAGAUGUGAAAUCAAUAUUGAUCAUAUAUGAUCCCACCUCUGGUGUGUCCAGGGGUCCGUGUUUGCCCAACUAUCUAUUUUGUAUUGCUUAUAGGAGUUAUGCGAUUGAUCACUGUUCGUUAUCUUCACCUUGCAUGAUAUCGUAGAUAUUACUUCACAUGAAAGAAGAGAUCGUCACCAAAACUGUCUUGUUAAUAACGCAGCCCAGUUAAGGUUUCAGUAAGGAGGCGUGGUCUAAUAUAUACAGAAAUGUGUAUUAUGACAUCACACAAAACAACAACCAAUCAUCUUGUUAACAAAGGAAAGCAUCCAGUUUACUGUAGAGAGAGGUUAAGGCCCUAGCUUUAUAGUUUCACAACCUGUCAUUGGGUAAGAGCAUGUUCUGCAUAUGAUCAGUUUUGAAAUUGUGGUAUGAUACAGACAAAUAAGCAGAUUGUAUAGGGGUUUCAACAGUCUCGUUUGAAGCCAGUAUUUCGUUAUAACCUUCUAGUUUGCCAAUACAACCUGUCAUUGGUUAAAAAGCUGUCUGACGUGUUUCAUACCAAUUGAUAAGCCAUCCUUUACACACGGAUUUUGACUACGGAUUACCCUGUUUACCUGAUAAAGAUUUACGUCGGGUGUGCCCGGUCGACAGGGAAUGUUCACUCCUCCUAGGCACCUGAUUUCACCUCUGAUAUGUCCAAGGCUCUGUGUUUGCCCUUUCCAUAAUUUUUUUCCUUCAUUGGAAUUAUGAGACUCACUGUUCGUUAUCUUCACUUUAGUUAAUUUCUAUAGUAUUAUAUCAUUAGAUAUGACGUAUCAAACACGUAAUCAUCAGACAGAGGACCAGAAAAGUUUCGUGGAUAAUGAUUUUGAAAUAACCCGUCUAACAGACAUCUUCAGGUAGCUGCAUGUAAUUUUCAGCAGGUACAUGGUUGUUGACUGAAAAUAGCAUCAAUUGCGUCACAUAUCCGCUGGUAGCCGGUUUGACUGCACGGUUCUACUCCUCCAAAUGCCAUUGGGAUGACCUGAAAACGGAAGUUGGCGAAACCGGAAGUAAGUUGAGGACUACUACUAAAAAAAAACCGCAGGUGCAACUGAUACAGAACGUGACGAUGAAACUCGUUAUUUGUGCUCAGAUUCCCAUGCUAUGUAGGCGGAAUGUCAGAUUAUCUACAGAAGUAUACUGUUUCCAUGCAGUAAAAAUUUCAAAUUCACAGAAGAAUUUUGUUUCGAGAUAUAAAAGAAAGUCACAAAUCGUGAUUUAUUUAGGUUCGGAGACAGCAGAUUCUACAGUCGCUGAUUGGUGGAUAUCACUCGCCCACAGUUUUCAUGAAAAGACCUUUCGCCCACCGAUUUUGCACCGGAAAUGUCAAUAUCUAAUUGCUUCUACAUAAAAUUGUUAUUCAACGGGAGAGAUAGGUCAUGGAAUAUUUUUUUCCGACUGUGCCCUUUAUAAACGUUUCACUAGACCGUGUAAUAUAUGACGCUAUUCCACAGCCAAAGAACAUAAGAGCAUACGUGGUUCAGAGUGUUUAGUGGUUGUUUUAUAUUAUGAAGAAUAAAAAAAAACUUUUA